rnacentral:lncRNA from 1 species
CUUAUAGAAUAUUGAAUAGUAUAUUAAUAUUAAUAUAUUAAUAUUUGAUAUUUUCUUACAUCUCUUCCUUUCUUCCAGGAAACGUGGCUUACUAUAUUCUUUUGCAUGAAAUGCUUUUACUAACCAACUUCCCUAAAAAAGAGAAAGUCAGGUGCAAAAAAAAGGUCACUUCUGUAUUUUGGACUCAGUAAAUCAGCAGGAUUUGUCAGCAGGAGCUGAAGUUAUGUAUUUGUACCAUACCUGAUGAUAUGAGAUGACCACUAGAGCUGAGAAUUAAAUUUUAAUUUCAGAAUUGAAUUUUAAUUUCAACCAAUCUAACUAUCUCAUCAUCAGGAAUCUCAGUGAUAUUUGCCGAACCUCACAUAACACCAAGAAAGGGAACCAUACAUCACAACUUGACCCCUUUGCUGUCCUGGAAGGCAUGUUUAUCUCCUCUGCUUUCUGCAUUACCCCCAUUGGAAUAGAGAGCAGGACGGGGUGAGUCUCUCACUCAGUGUGUAAGAAUACAGCCAAGAAAUGAAGGAGUGAGUCUAAAAAAAAUGGACUUGUUAAGUGUGAUCGCUGUUGCUAGACCACUUGUCAAUAAAUUGGACAAUUCAUUUUUCCA